rnacentral:rRNA from 4 species
UGGUGGGUAGUUUGACUGGGGCGGUCUCCUCCUAAAGAGUAACGGAGGAGCACGAAGGUUGGCUAAUCCUGGUCGGACAUCAGGAGGUUAGUGCAAUGGCAUAAGCCAGCUUGACUGCGAGCGUGACGGCGCGAGCAGGUGCGAAAGCAGGUCAUAGUGAUCCGGUGGUUCUGAAUGGAAGGGCCAUCGCUCAACGGAUAAAAGGUACUCCGGGGAUAACAGGCUGAUACCGCCCAAGAGUUCAUAUCGACGGCGGUGUUUGGCACCUCGAUGUCGGCUCAUCACAUCCUGGGGCUGAAGUAGGUCCCAAGGGUAUGGCUGUUCGCCAUUUAAAGUGGUACGCGAGCUGGGUUUAGAACGUCGUGAGACAGUUCGGUCCCUAUCUGCCGUGGGCGCUGGAGAACUGAGGGGGGCUGCUCCUAGUACGAGAGGACCGGAGUGGACGCAUCACUGGUGUUCGGGUUGUCAUGCCAAUGGCACUGCCCGGUAG